UCUACAUAUGUUUUUGUUAUAUGCUACAACACUGUAUUAUUCUCAACUUACUGUUUCUUCUGUUCCAGAGGGAGUAAGAUCUUUACAAAACCGAAACCACCCAUCACAGAGGUAGUAUCAACUUAUAUAAUCCCUGCAGAAGAGGAUUUAGAUCCAGAUGUACUCAAAAAUAUGAUGUCUCUGGGAUGCUUCAAAAACAAACAGAAACUGCUGGAGGAGCUGAUGUCCUUAAGUCACAACACAGA